GACGAACGCUGGCGGCGUGCUUAACACAUGCAAGUCGAACGGUGAACCUCUUCGGAGGGGAUCAGUGGCGAACGGGUGAGUAACACGUUGGCAACCUGCCCCCGGCUCUGUGAUAACUCCAAGAAAUUGGGGCUAAUACCGGAUGUUCACCGCUUCCCUCGUGGGUGGUGGUGAAAAGGUCGUCCGGCUGGGGGUGGGCCCGCGGCCUAUCAGCUGGUUGGUGGGGUAGUGGCCUACCACGGAGAAGACGGGUAGCCGGCCUGAGAGGGUGACCGGCCACCAGGGGACUGCGACACGGAGCAGACGCCGACGGGAGGCAGUAGGCGGGAGUCUUGCGCAACGAGCGGACGUGUGACGUAGAGACGCCGCGUGGGGGAUGACGGCCUUCGGGUUGUAAACAUAUUUGAGCAGGGACGAAGCGGAAGUGACGGUACCUGCAGAAGAAGCACCGGCCAACUACGU
rnacentral:rRNA from 1 species